rnacentral:rRNA from 1 species
CGACGAGUUUGAUCAUGGCUCAGAUUGAACGCUGGCGGCAUGCUUUACACAUGCAAGUCGAACGGUAACGGGGACUUCGGUCUGCCGACGAGUGGCGAACGGGUGAGUAAUAUAUCGGAACGUGCCCAGUAAUGGGGGAUAGCUCGGCGAAAGCCGGAUUAAUACCGCAUACGCCCUGAGGGGGAAAGUGGGGGAUCUUCGGACCUCACGUUAUUGAAGCGGCCGAUAUCAGAUUAGCUAGUUGGUGGGGUAAAGGCCUACCAAGGCGACGAUCUGUAGCUGGUCUGAGAGGAUGAUCAGCCACACUGGGACUGAGACACGGCCCAGACUCCUACGGGAGGCAGCAGUGGGGAAUUUUGGACAAUGGGCGAAAGCCUGAUCCAGCCAUGCCGCGUGAGUGAAGAAGGCCUUCGAGUUGUAAAGCUCUUUCAGGUGGAAAGAAAGCGGAUGGGUUAAUACCCUGUCCGGAUGACGGUACCACCAGAAGAAGCACCGGCUAACUACGUG